UGAAAAAAAAAAGAAGAAAGAAAAUGGAAUGAGAAACUAAAUCCUUUUCCUAAACCCAAUCACACGUUUCAUCUAGAAGACUCUACACACACUUAUGCUACACAACUCUAGCACCGACAUACACACACUAAAUAUCUCUCUCAAGCUCUACCCUCUCUGUACACACAUUACACCUACUAAACUCCCACAUACAGCAGCAAUCGAAGAAGACGGAUUUCCCCAAGACCGCCAUCUACUGCUCCUCCGGCGGCCGUGGUCGCCGGCCAUCGGCCCUCUCCUCCUUGCUCAUAGCUUCUUCCUCUCCAUCUUCUCCAACCUCCAUUAUUAGAUUUCAAUGUUCAAGCUUUGUUUCCCCAAACUCAUUUCUUGCAAUUUAAGUGCUAGGGGUGGCGCAUCCAAGGCUCGAGGAUGGACAACCUAAACCAAGCUUGAGGAGGUUAUUUUGAAUUUCAGCUUUCGAGGUGGGGUUUACUUUAUCUGUAAGCGUAGUGGUUACAUGGUUAUAAUCAUUGUUGUGUCGUGCGUCAUUCAUAUGAGCUUAUGGGCCCACGAGGGGUCAGAUCCACGAGGGAUCAUAUGGGUCGCUGAUAGCCCACCAAUAGCCCACGAAGGCAGGCCCACGAGGGACCGAGACUAGUCUCAUAUAGAUGUCAGCAAAAUUGAGAUGGUUAAGGAGUCGGUGACGGGGCAGCAGGCAACGCGGUCCACAAUCUCCCAGACUAGAGUAGGGGCUAUCUUGACAAACUGAUAGGCUGAUUAGACUGAACCAAAGGGGAGGGAGGAAUUUGAGACUGCAAAAGUAUUUGGAAUGACCUUAAGCUUGUGGGGAAUAUUGCCUGAAGUUGAGCCAGUUUCAAACAUGUAGAUGUUAUUGUAUGCUUAAAUGUUGUUUAUAAUUUAUUUUUGAGUCUGUGAACCUUUUCUCUUAGGAGUCGGUCAGGGACCCAUGCAUGCAUCUCACCCUUUCUUAUUGUUUUUUCAUACUUGAGGAGAAGCAUGGUUUAAGUGUGAGCAGUUUGAUCAGGCUCGUUGCAUGCAUGGUUUUAUUGGGUUUAUUACACUAACAUGAUGGCUAACAAUGUGCAAAAAGAAUGGCGAAUUUGAGUUUGCAGGAGCUAUAAAAUGAAGAAACCGGCAAGCACAAGAAUGAUCGGAUCAACUCAGAAAAGGAGUGAAAACAGCAUGGAAUAGAGCCAAGUUGACCCACUAAGCAGCCGAACUAGUCAAGUGGAGUCGUGCAGCUGCAGUGCUGAGUCACAGGAGAGAGAAAGAGCAAAUGCUACCAUAGUAGGGCAGAUUUGUCAAGGAAUAAGAUGGGCUUACCCUAGGGAUUUGAGCCCAACAUUCGCUCUAUAAAUAUGGCGAGAGUGCACAGACUCAUUAUCACACAUCAUCUUCAUUCACCUCAAAUUCAACCUAGUUUUCUUAGUAUGGAGUAGAGUUAGCUAGCUGGUGAGGAAUCACCGUUCCACCUUCAAGUCUUCAUCUCUUCUUCCUCAUCCAGGGAGACGAGACCGGAUCUACGUAGAAAUCAUCUUAGCUCAACGCUUUUGUAGUACCCGAGGGGUAAAACAAUUUACAUUCUGUUUUUUUUUUCGGUCAUCGCUUUCAUAGUUUAGUUGUUUCGUCAUCUUUGCUUUCA